CGGCUUCCGGAGGCAGCCGGGCUCUCCUAACCUAAUCAGCGGCCGCCGCCCCGCAAGCCAAGGCCCUGAACCCCGCCCCCGCCCCGCCCCGCCCCCGCGCCCCGGGCCCGACCUCCACCGCCUGCAGAAGGCGCCCGGGCCACCGGCCGCCGCCUUCCGGGAAAUCGGCUCUCGGCCACCCGCCGCCACCACGAAGGCCGAGGGGAAGCGGCCGAGCCCUGGGGCCUCCGGGCUCCAGCAGCAGGCUCCGAGAAGAAUGGAGAUUUGCAGAUCUGAUAAUGAGCCAGUUAAUGACAUAAAUGAUACCUCAAGAACCUCACUAAACCAUCCAGGAAUAAGAUUAGGAAAAUACCACGGAGAGGGGAUGUGCACCCCAGUAUCCUCUUUUCUUAAUCUUUGUUUUAUGCAAGAGGAAAAGCCAAACAUGGAGGUGGUGAGUUGUUGUAUGAUCUUAUAAAACGUUAAGUCCUGGAUUAAAGUCCUGGUCCAAUUCUUAGCUUAAUUAUUUGCAAGUAUUAUCUGUCUUUGGUAUUUGUUCAAGUGUUUUUGGUUACUGAAUAAUGAGUGCAGGACCAAGCCCAGCACUGAGCUCUCUGUGGGCAAGUUAGUCCUGCAAUUCCGUUAAGAGCUGAGGUUUGGAGCUCUAUGGGGUCCUCAAGCAUUUUCUCUCUAGAGUGUGGGUCUGCAACCAAGACCACUUACAACUGUGCAUAAAAAGUGAGUAACGUACAAAUAACUAUCAUGGAACAGAAAAUUGAAUUGCCUCUCCUACCUAUUGAUUUAGCUACUAGUGGAGUAAAUACGGUUCUGUUCUUGACUAUCUUCUACUCAAUGCAAUAGAUCACACUCUCUGAUAGACAUCCGAUGAAUGGCUUUAACCGCAAAUACUUUGUUUGAGUUUGAGAUUGAACUGAUGGUAUCUUAGAAGAGAAAUAACACAGUUCUGUGUGUACAUCUAUUCAUUUUAAAUUUCUGUAUAAACUUCGUCGCAUUCUUGCCUUCCAGGGGGGCUGAGUUUGUAUUUUAUUAUUUUAAUGGUCUUGUUUUUUGGGCAUUGGGCUUGUAUAAACUUUGGUAAAAUCAUUUCUUUUUCUUUUUCUUUUUUUAAAAAAGAUUUUAUUUAUUUAUUUAAGAUAAAGAGAACACCAGCAGAGGGAGAAGGGGAAGCAGACUCCCUCUGAGCGACGAGGCCUAUGUGGGGCUCCAUCCCAUAGUCCUGAGCCCAAGCAGACAUUCAACUGACUGAGCCACCCAGGCACCCCUGGUGAACUCAUUUCCUUUGCUUGUCUUAGCCACCGAAAUGCAGCUUGUAUCAGCUAAUACUGAAAAUUGUGAAAAUGUCCUCUUCAUGUUUUAUAUUUUUAUAGAAAAUGCCAUGGUUAGCUGUAAAUAUAAGAACAUCAAUGUAAUGAAGAUAAAAUAUAUUUCAAAGCCUAUAUAGCGUUCAAACUUUGCAG
rnacentral:lncRNA from 12 species